rnacentral:lncRNA from 1 species
GGAACCUGUCCUUGCUCACUCUCUUUCACUUAAAAUGAAUGAAUUCAAUCCUAGAGUCUCAUGAGAGGAGAUCACUCAGCCUGCUAGAAGGACCAUCCUGUCUGGAAUCACAGGAAUUAAGAGAAACCACAACUUUUCUCAACUCUCAGCGCAACAUAAAACAUGUCAGCACUUGGGAAAAGGCAGGUGAGUGACAAAGAAAAGCCCUUGCAAUGAACUCAUUCCUUCCUGGUUGUCUGUCCGGGUCUGCUUGCUAUCCACUCGCCAAUCUAGAGACCUCUCUCUCCACACCCUCCUCUCCAGAACCCACCCCACAUCCUGACCGCUCUGCAAAAUGAUAGGUGUGAUUAACCUGCCACACACUUGAACUUAGAGAGAAAGUGUGUUAAGGAAACAGGAAAGGGAGGGGAAAUAAUGUGAAUAUCAAAUGUAUGGUAUAUACCAAGUAGGUUAGCAGGGCAAGCCUUAAGUGAAGGGUGAGAAAGCAGCAUUCGGCCGCACAGGUGCACUUGGGGAGUUGAGAGUUAAGCUUCAUUCACUCACAUUUCAUUCUGCAGCGACAAAGGCUGCGAAGAACCACCUUGAGCUUAAAAAAUGCCCAAG